UACGAGUUGUGCAAACGUUAUUCGGAAUCACUGGGCUUAAAGGGUGCGUAGGCGGGCAGGCAGGUCAGAUGUGAAAUCCCACGGCUCAACCGUGGAAUUGCGUUUGAAACCGCUUGUCUUGAGGGGGUCAGAGGAGAGCGGAACUGAUGGUGGAGCGGUGAAAUGCGUUGAUAUCAUCAGGAACACCGGUGGCGAAAGCGGCUCUCUGGGACCUUUCUGACGCUGAGGCACGAAAGCCAGGGGAGCGAACGGG
rnacentral:rRNA from 1 species